rnacentral:rRNA from 1 species
AUUGAACGCUGGCGGCAGGCCUAACACAUGCAAGUCGAACGAGUGGCGGACUGGUGAGUAAUUUCUUGGAAACUGCCCGAUGGAGGUGUAUAACUACUGGAAACGGUAGCUAAUACCGCAUACCAUCGGAUGUGCCCAGAUGGGAUUAGCUAGUAGGUGGGGUAACGGCUCACCUAGGCGACGAUCCCUAGCUGGUCUGAGAGGAUGCUCAGCCAAACUGUAACUGAGACACGGUCCAGACUCCUACGGGAGGCAGCAGUGGGGAAUAUGGCACAAGGGGCGCAAGCCUGAUGCAGCCAUGCCGCGUGUAUGAAGAAGGCCUUCGGGUUGUAAAGUACUUUCAGCGAGGAGGCGUUACUCGCAGAAGAAGCACCGGCUAACUCCGUGCCAGCAGCCGCGGUAAUUC